rnacentral:pre_miRNA from 1 species
GUACUACUCCCUCCGUCCCAAAAUUCUUGUCUUAAAUUUGUCUAAAUACGGAUGUAUCAAGUCAUGUUUUAGUAUUAGAUGCAUCCGUAUCUAGACAAAUGUAAGACAAGAAUUUUGGGACGGAGGGAGUACUAC